AAUCAUUCCCUGUAGCAUCUCACCCGAUCGAAAACCCUUCUCCAUCGCCAAAACCCUCGCUGCCCCUCGUGAGCUCUCUCUCUUCCCUCUUUUUAGCUCAUGGUUUCCACCUUCGUCAUUGUCCUCCUCAUUCUCUUCUCGUCCUCCGCCCUUGCUGUCAUCUCCUCUGUUCCCUGUCAGGACGUCCUCACCCUCUCCAAGCAAGAUAGGGUCGUCCUUGUCUGUAUCGACGAGGAAGUGAGAAUGCUCUACCUGGAGUGGAGGGCCAAGCAUCGCCCUGUCGAAAAUGACCAAUAUCUAGACGAAUAUCAACUCAAGGUCUUCAAGGAGAACCUCCGGAUUGUCGAAGAGCACAAUUCGAUGGCUGACCACGGGGAGCACACCUACUGCCUCACGAUGAACUAGUUCGCUGACCUCACCAACGAGGAGUACUUGUCAGGUUCCUCACGGACUUCAGAUCCACCUCUCAGAACAUCAGCAAUUAGUACCGGCUGAGAGAAGGGGACGAUCUGCCCGAUUCCAUCAAUUAGAGGUAGAAGGCGCUGUCAUUGCCAUAAAGGAUCAUCUCAACUACGAUCUCGACUCUUGACCAAGUUCAGAUGUUCCCUUCGGCAUAUCAAGACAUUUUGCUAUUUGGGAAUCAAGUGAGAGCACUGUGUCAACAUUAAAUUGUACCAAUCUUGCUUCAUUAUAUACUCCACCUUUUGCCUUGAUAUUCCAAGGGCACUUUGACCAGGUGCAAUGAUUAUUCCAAGAUAUUUUGAAUGGAUUCAUGAAAAUGGUGUUACAUUAAUUUGAAUGUCAUUCACAUUUUUUUAAUAUUUUUUACAUUGUCUAAUUAUUGAUGCCACAUUAAAUCUAAUGAAGGUUUGUUUUUUUGUCUGUAAGAAUAUUUUCUUAAUAUUUUGUGUUAGAAUGUCUUGGUAGUCGUUAUAUAAUAUUCAAGUUUGUACUUGACAUAAAAUAUGUGGAGCAUUUGAUAGUUUCAUCUUUCAUUAUCUUUUGUUGUGAUAUGUUUAUCUGAUGAUGACUUUUCACAUGAAGAGUUGAACCUAUUUGAUGCAUCACAGGCAGAUGCAUCUUAUGAUGUGGUUCUUAUUAUAAUGAUUUGCUUCAUGAAGUAUUCUAUCAUAUGCAUAUAUUCUGUUUCUACUAAUACUGAUUGUAAAACAUUUCAUUUCUUUUGAUGCAUGGAACAUAAAAACAUAGAUGCAUGCUGGCAUUAGAGAUAUUUGGAGUAAUGGUGCACAGAGUCGGUCUCCUAAUAGGAGAAUAAAGUUUGUAUUUGCAAAAUCUUGAUGCUUUAUAUAAUCAUAAUUAAGGAUUUAUGUUUUCUAUGUGGUCAUCUUCAAUUUGUAUCCACUAUUCGUUACCGACUAGUGUAAAUCAUGUUUCCUGCUACAAGAUUUUGAUGACAUUUUGUUUGCAUUAUUAUGUGCAGGUUGUCCUAGAAGUAAGCAUAGUGAUGCUUGUAAUGGUUAAUGAAGACAACGUUACUAGAUGGAUUGAUUAUGUUGUUUAUGAUAAAAUAUUCUUCGAAAGAAUUGGGUAUCCUUGGCUUUUGACUAAACCAUGAAUGGUAUUAGCUAUCUUGUUGAAAGCUUAAUUUGCAUUAAGAAAUGCUCAAAUUCUUAACGAAUCAAAUUUCUAAUGUUGUAUUAGCUUUGACAUGAUUUGGUUAUAAAAUUAGAUUGCUAGUGGUGACAUUUGUAGCAGUAUUGGGAAUGAAUUUGGUAGCAAUAGCGAUAUUAAUAUUGGUGCAAAAAAAGUGAUGAUUUUGGUCAUAUUUUUCAGGUGAUUAUCAUAAAAUUAUGUAUUUCUGAAUCAUAAAAUUGUUACAAAAAUAUAUAUGAUUGAAUUAAUAACUUUGUAUUGUUUAUUUACAGUCAAAUUUGAGAAAUGUGAGUCGUGGAGAUAUUUGUGCUAAUACUAAAUGUAAGCUGCUUCAUUGGUCUGCUGAUGAAUUAGUUGUUGCAGAAGGUCGAAUUGCAUCCAUAGAUCCAAACACAAAAGUGCAUCACGUUAUUCUUGGUGGAUCAUGUUGGAAAGUUUGGGUUGAUAAAGUUUUGGUGGAAAAGGUAGACCUAAUUCGAUCAAAUGAUGAAAUGCAGUUUCUUGAUGAUGCAAUAGGAAGCACGGUUGCAUGGUUAUCGAAAUUUAUAGUAUUGUGUGAUUGAUACAUAAUAUACUAAUUUGUGUGGAUUGUAAGUUUAAUUGUUGUUAUGUAAUAACUAGUUUGAUAGAGAUUUUGUAUCUUGUUUAAGAUCUUUAAAUUUUUUUGGUAUAAUGAAAAA